rnacentral:rRNA from 1 species
AACGCGAAGAACCUUACCAAGGCUUGACAUGUCGGAAGUAGCGACCCGAAAGGGAAGCCACCCGUUGAGUCAGGAACCGUCACAGGUGCUGCAUGGCUGUCGUCAGCUCGUGCCGUGAGGUGUUAGGUUAAGUCCUGUAACGAGCGCAACCCCCGUUGCCAGUUGAUUUCUCUGGCGAGACUGCCCUGCGAAACGGGGAGGAAGGUGGGGAUGACGUCAAGUCAGCACGGCCCUUAUGCCUUGGGCUACACACACGCUACAAUGGGUGGUACAAUGGGUAGCAACAGAGCGAUCUGGAGCCAAUCCAUAAAACCAUCCUCAGUUCGGAUUGCAGGCUGAAACUCGCCUGCAUGAAGUUGGAGUUGCUAGUAACCGCAGGUCAGCAUACUGCGGUGAAUACGUUCUCGGGCCUUGUACACACCGCCCAUCAUGUCAUGAAAGUUGGCAAUACCUGAAGUCGAUGGGCUAACCCUUCUUCGGAAGGGAGGCAGUCGCCGAGGGCGGGGUUGAUGAUUGGGACAAAGUCGUAACAAGGUAACCUUAAUUAAAA